rnacentral:lncRNA from 1 species
CCUUUUCUAGGGCCCCUCCCACGGCAUAUGGAGGUUCCCAAGCUAGGGGUCUAAUUGGAGCUGUAGCCACUGGCCUACACCACAGCCACAGUAUCGCAGGAUCCAAGCCGAAUCUGUGGCCUACACCACAGCUCAUGGCAACGCCGGAAUAAAAAAAAAAAAAAGCUGUCUUUCCUUCGUUCCCCUCUUCCGCCCCUCCAGACUAGUGCUGGGCUCCAGUUAGGCUCUUACUAAAGCAGCCCCAGUCUGGGGCUAUAGCUAACAGGACCUUGACAGUCAAAUCCAGUAAAAGCCCAGAUGUACCCAAAACAAAGGAUUGUGCAACUCAUGGGAACUCCUACCUGAGUGAUAUUUUUGCUCUAACCUUCAUUCCCCUGUGGCAACUAUGUCUGCAGGUCCCCGACUUUCCAGAAAUGUCCUGAUUUCACAGGUUUCUCCUUGAGUCUCUGGAAGCACACAGCCUUGACACACACUUUGGCUUGACACAUGGUCACUGUGCCCAUGACACACAGUUGGCACAACAAGACUGCAAAAGUGCAUUUCCCCCCAGGUGAAACUCAGUCACCUGGUUGGGGAGAAGGCCAGGCAUGGGGAAGCUCUGGGGUGCCAAGGCCAUCAGUACCUGCCACGCUGAGCAGAGAGGCUGCCCCAGCCCAGCAGCAAGGCGGUGCCACCGAGUCAUACAGUACUCUCAGCAGGGCCAAGCGCUGCCCUGGCAGAGUCUUCUGCCGAGGGCAAGGAGAGAGUGGGCUGAGACUUGGCAUGUUUGAAGAAUGGCCCUGCGUGCAUCCUGUACAUGUUUUUGACUGUGUUUAAAUCUCUCUGCUACAGUCAGCCACCUCUGAGGCCUUCAGGGAGAACCUGUUUGCCUUCUUUCCACACUUGAAAGCUUAGCUCCCUUCCUGCGGCCCAGCGGCUCAAUGGGUGUGUGGACCCCCACCCUGCUCUGUGCAGCAGGCUUCACUCACGAAGGGGGCCCCGGGACUCCUUGAGAGAAAAUGAACAUGAGUCACUCCUCCACCUCCCCCACCCCCAGCCCAGACACUGUCACAGACACACAGUCUCAAACGCUGCAGCACUGUUCCCCUUUGCCCAGAACACAAUAAAGGAAUUAGGACCCACCUAUAUACUUCUGCAGCUGACAUUUCAAGGCUCAAAGUCUAGCUCACCAGCCCAGUCACACGUCUGACGUGUCCUCUUUGCAAGCAGGCCCCGAUCCAGCCACCAUGCAAUUUUGCUAAUUCAAACUGCUUUCCCGUUUGGGGAGGUCGAUAGCCAUCUCCCAUCUCUUCUGAUGUCAUCCCACAUUUUCUACAGGCACAAAUAAGGGUACAAAUCCUGGGACAGCGUUCAGGCUGCCUGAGGUAGGAGUGGACGGAUCCUGCCCUCCUGGGUACACUUCACGUCUCUGGCGUGUGGCAAAUUGUCCGAGGUUAAGGGAGAGGCAAGGAAAUAAAUCAUCUAGCUAAGGUGAAAGGCCAAAAAGAACUUGGCCACUGCAGCCCAGGCCCAGAUCUGUUCUGGGGAUUUGCAAUGCAAAUCUGCGUUUUGCUCGCUGCCACCGAGGUCUUGCACAAUAGCCUGUGUAUAAACAUCCACGCCAACAAUGCCUGACUGUGCAAUCACGCUGUAAUUACAGGCCGGCAGGAAGCUGAUGCUAGGAACUGCACCAUUCAACCUCUAGACAUCCCAUGUCGGAGUCUCCACGGUAGGGACCUACAUUCCUGCACACACUGACGCGUCCCCACCGCGGGCCGCUGCUACUGCACUUGCAGACUCCAAGCCAGGGAGCCUGGGCGCCACCCGGCAUAGGUCCGCCAGUCCCAAGUUAGUUUGCAGGGAUGUCACAAACUUCUCAGCUGCUCUUUAAAAAAAAAAAAAAAAGCAACCCUGCGCCACGAGGGUACAGAGGGCGGCGGGAAUCACCAUCAAAGUUCCCAAGCACAUUCACGAAGCCCUAGCAGCUUUUGCAAACAGUAAAGAGCGAGAUGCCACAGAGUCCACUGGAAGCGGGUUUUGCAGUUUUAUAUAGAAAACACUCACAUAUGUACGUGGGUGUGCUGACAGUUUUUAUGGCUAAAUUGCAAAGUGUUAGGACUUAGUGAUUACUGUCAGGUUCGGGACGUGGUGUAGGAGGAGAAAGGGUGGGGGGGGUGUCAGCGGAAUUUAUUCAAAAGGGACUUAAGGGGCAAUUCUGGAUUUGCUUUUUGGAAAUGCGUAGGGUUGUUUUCCCAAACUG